rfam:Bacillus sp. KCTC 13219 scaffold1.1, whole genome shotgun sequence.
CACCCGCUACAACCGCACUGGCAAGGUGCCUAAGAGUAGCUAGUUUAGCUAACACCUUGAUAGUAACAGGCGAGUCUUAGUCUAAAG